GCCCAAGGGCACAAGGAAAGAGAACUGCCUUGAAUCCCAAACCCUUAUCCCAGGUCCAUUGUUCUGGAUGCUACAAAAACAUAUGGUCCUGCCACCAGUAUUUUCCAGCCAAUACAGAAGAAGUUUGGAGGGGAAACAGAAGCAAUAAGAAAUAAAGGGCUCUAU